rnacentral:rRNA from 1 species
AUGAACGCUGGCGGCGUACCUAAUACAUGCAAGUCGAACGCUUUGUGGUUCAACUGAUUUGAAGAGCUUGCUCAGAUAUGACGAUGGACAUUGCAAAGAGUGGCGAACGGGUGAGUAACACGUGGGAAACCUACCUCUUAGCAGGGGAUAACAUUUGGAAACAGAUGCUAAUACCGUAUAACAAUGACAACCGCAUGGUUGUUAUUUAAAAGAUGGUUCUGCUAUCACUAAGAGAUGGUCCCGCGGUGCAUUAGCUAGUUGGUAAGGUAAUGGCUUACCAAGGCGAUGAUGCAUAGCCGAGUUGAGAGACUGAUCGGCCACAAUGGGACUGAGACACGGCCCAUACUCCUACGGGAGGCAGCAGUAGGGAAUCUUCCACAAUGGGCGAAAGCCUGAUGGAGCAACGCCGCGUGUGUGAUGAAGGGUUUCGGCUCGUAAAACACUGUUGUAAGAGAAGAAUGACAUUGAGAGUAACUGUUCAAUGUGUGACGGUAUCUUACCAGAAAGGAACGGCUAAAUACGUGCCAGCAGCCGCGGUAAUACGUAUGUUCCAAGCGUUAUCCGGAUUUAUUGGGCGUAAAGCGAGCGCAGACGGUUAUUUAAGUCUGAAGUGAAAGCCCUCAGCUCAACUGAGGAAUUGCUUUGGAAACUGGAUGACUUGAGUGCAGUAGAGGAAAGUGGAACUCCAUGUGUAGCGGUGAAAUGCGUAGAUAUAUGGAAGAACACCAGUGGCGAAGGCGGCUUUCUGGACUGUAACUGACGUUGAGGCUCGAAAGUGUGGGUAGCAAACAGGAUUAGAUACCCUGGUAGUCCACACCGUAAACGAUGAGUGCUAGGUGUUUGAGGGUUUCCGCCCUUAAGUGCCGCAGCUAACGCAUUAAGCACUCCGCCUGGGGAGUACGACCGCAAGGUUGAAACUCAAAGGAAUUGACGGGGACCCGCACAAGCGGUGGAGCAUGUGGUUUAAUUCGAAGCAACGCGAAGAACCUUACCAGGUCUUGACAUCCCUUGACAACUCCAGAGAUGGAGCGUUCCCUUCGGGGACAAGGUGACAGGUGGUGCAUGGUUGUCGUCAGCUCGUGUCGUGAGAUGUUGGGUUAAGUCCCGCAACGAGCGCAACCCUUAUUACUAGUUGCCAGCAUUCAGUUGGGCACUCUAGUGAGACUGCCGGUGACAAACCGGAGGAAGGUGGGGAUGACGUCAAAUCAUCAUGCCCCUUAUGACCUGGGCUACACACGUGCUACAAUGGCGUAUACAACGAGUUGCCAACCCGCGAGGGUGAGCUAAUCUCUUAAAGUACGUCUCAGUUCGGAUUGUAGGCUGCAACUCGCCUACAUGAAGUCGGAAUCGCUAGUAAUCGCGGAUCAGCACGCCGCGGUGAAUACGUUCCCGGGUCUUGUACACACCGCCCGUCAAGGG